rnacentral:rRNA from 1 species
CGAGCGGUAACAGGAGAAGCUUGCUUCUCGCUGACGAGCGGCGGACGGGUGAGUAAUACUUAGGAAUCUACCUAGUAGUGGGGGAUAGCUCGGGGAAACUCGAAUUAAUACCGCAUACGACCUACGGGAGAAAGGGGGCAACUUGUUGCUCUCGCUAUUAGAUGAGCCUAAGUCGGAUUAGCUAGAUGGUGGGGUAAAGGCCUACCAUGGCGACGAUCUGUAGCUGGUCUGAGAGGAUGAUCAGCCACACCGGGACUGAGACACGGCCCGGACUCCUACGGGAGGCAGCAGUGGGGAAUAUUGGACAAUGGGGGCAACCCUGAUCCAGCCAUGCCGCGUGUGUGAAGAAGGCCUUUUGGUUGUAAAGCACUUUAAGCAGUGAAGAAGACUCCAUGGUUAAUACCCAUGGACGAUGACAUUAGCUGCAGAAUAAGCACCGGCUAACUCUGUGCCAGCAGCCGCGGUAAUACAGAGGGUGCAAGCGUUAAUCGGAAUUACUGGGCGUAAAGCGAGCGUAGGUGGCUUGAUAAGUCAGAUGUGAAAGCCCCGGGCUUAACCUGGGAACGGCAUCUGAUACUGUUAGGCUAGAGUAGGUGAGAGGAAGGUAGAAUUCCAGGUGUAGCGGUGAAAUGCGUAGAGAUCUGGAGGAAUACCGAUGGCGAAGGCAGCCUUCUGGCAUCAUACUGACACUGAGGUUCGAAAGCGUGGGUAGCAAACAGGAUUAGAUACCCUGGUAGUCCACGCCGUAAACGAUGUCUACUAGUCGUUGGGUCCCUUGAGGACUUAGUGACGCAGCUAACGCAAUAAGUAGACCGCCUGGGGAGUACGGCCGCAAGGUUAAAACUCAAAUGAAUUGACGGGGGCCCGCACAAGCGGUGGAGCAUGUGGUUUAAUUCGAUGCAACGCGAAGAACCUUACCUGGUCUUGACAUAUCUAGAAUCCUGCAGAGAUGCGGGAGUGCCUUCGGGAAUUAGAAUACAGGUGCUGCAUGGCUGUCGUCAGCUCGUGUCGUGAGAUGUUGGGUUAAGUCCCGCAACGA